rnacentral:rRNA from 1 species
GAUGAAUGCUGGCGGCGUGCCUAAUACAUGCAAGUCGAGCGGUAACAGGUCUAGUUUACUAGAUGCUGACGAGCGGCGAACGGCUGAGUAACGCGUGGGAAUCUGCCCCAAAGUGAGGAAUAACUGCCCGAAAGGGUGGCUAAUGCCGCAUAUGGUCUUCGGAUUAAAGUCUUCGGACGCUUUGGGAAGAGCCCGCGUUAGAUUAGGUUGUUGGUGAGGUAAAGGCUCACCAAGCCAUCGAUCUAUAGCUGGUCUGAGAGGAUGAUCAGCCAGACUGGGACUGAGACACGGCCCAG